rnacentral:rRNA from 1 species
UACGGGGGGGGCAAGCGUUGUUCGGAAUUACUGGGCGUAAAGGGCUCGUAGGCGGCCAACUAAGUCACACGUGAAAUCCCCAGGCUUAACCUGGGAACUGCGUGUGAUACUGGAUGGCUUGAAUCCGGGAGAGGGAUGCGGAAUUCCAGGUGUAGCGGUGAAAUGCGUAGAUAUCUGGAGGAACACCGGUGGCGAAGGCGGCACUCUGGGACGGUACUGACGCUGAGACGCGAAAGCGUGGGGAGCGAACAGG